rnacentral:rRNA from 1 species
CUCAGAACGAACGCUGGCGGCAGGCUUAACACAUGCAAGUCGAGCGCCCCGCAAGGGGAGCGGCAGACGGGUGAGUAACGCGUGGGAAUCUACCCUUGACUACGGAAUAACGCAGGGAAACUUGUGCUAAUACCGUAUGUGUCCUUCGGGAGAAAGAUUUAUCGGUCAAGGAUGAGCCCGCGUUGGAUUAGCUAGUUGGUGGGGUAAAGGCCUACCAAGGCGACGAUCCAUAGCUGGUCUGAGAGGAUGAUCAGCCACWUUGGGACUGAGACACGGCCCAAACUCCUACGGGAGGCAGCKAGUGGGGAAUAUUGGACWAUGGGCGCWAGCYUGAUCCWGCCWUGCCGCGUGAGUGAUGAAGGCCCUAGGGUUGUAAAGCUCUUUCACCGGAGAAGAUAAU